rfam:Oryza nivara chromosome 2, whole genome shotgun sequence.
AGUUUGCUCUAAUGACUCCUAUAAGGAUGGUAUCUGAGUGAGGUUGCUCUUAACCACUCCUUUGUUGAUUACAUCCAGAACUGAAAUAUUCGGGGCAAGCA